AGUGAUGUGAAGCAAAUCGCACCAAAGACCGGUCCCAGUUCGGAUAAGAGGCUGAAACUCGCCUCUUUGAAGUCGGAAUCGCUAGUAAUCGCAGAUCAGCAUGUUGCGGUGAAUACGUUCCCGGGUCUUGUACACACCGCCCGUCAAACCAUGAGAGUCACCAACACCCGAAGUCCGCUUUGGCGGCCUAAGGUGGGGGAGAUGAUUGGGGUUAAGUCGUAACAAGGUACC
rnacentral:rRNA from 1 species